rnacentral:rRNA from 1 species
GACGAACGCUGGCGGCGUGCUUAACACAUGCAAGUCGAACGGAAAGGCCCUGCUUUUGUGGGGUGCUCGAGUGGCGAACGGGUGAGUAACACGUGAGUAACCUGCCCUUGACUUUGGGAUAACUUCAGGAAACUGGGGCUAAUACCGGAUAGGAGCUCCUGCUGCAUGGUGGGGGUUGGAAAGUUUCGGCGGUUGGGGAUGGACUCGCGGCUUAGCAGCUUGUUGGUGGGGUAGUGGCUUACCAAGGCUUUGACGGGUAGCCGGCCUGGGAGGGUGACCGGCCACAUUGGGACUGAGAUACGGCCCAGACGCCUACGGGAGGCAGCAGUGGGGAAUAUUGCACAAUGGGCGGGAGCCUGAUGCAGCAACGCCGCGUGCGGGAUGACGGCCUUCGGGUUGUAAACCGCUUUCGCCUGUGACGAAGCGUGAGUGACGGUAAUGGGUAAAGAAGCACCGGCUAACUACGU